AUUGAACGCUGGCGGCAGGCCUAACACAUGCAAGUCGAGCGGAUGAAGAGAGCUUGCUCUCUGAUUCAGCGGCGGACGAGUGAGUAAUGCCUAGGAAUCUGCCUGGUAGUGGGGGACAACGUUUCGAAAGGAACGCUAAUACCGCAUACGUCCUACGGGAGAAAGUGGGGGAUCUUCGGACCUCACGCUAUCAGAUGAGCCUAGGUACGAUUAGCUAGUUGGUGAGGUAAAGGCUCACCAAGGCGACGAUCGUUAACUGGUCUGAGAGGAUGAUCAGUCACACUGGAACUGAGACACGGUCCAGACUCCUACGGGAGGCAGCAGUGGGGAAUAUUGGACAAUGGGCGAAGGCCUGAUCCAGCCAUGCCGCGUGUGUGAAGAAGGUCUUCGGAUUGUAAAGCACUUUAAGUUGGGAGGAAGGGCAGUAAGUUAAUACCUUGCUGUUUUGACGUUACCGACAGAAUAAGCAUCGGCUAACUUCGUGCCAGCCGCCGCGGUAA
rnacentral:rRNA from 1 species